UUGAUCAUGGCUCAGAUUGAACGCUGGCGGCAGGCCUAACACAUGCAAGUCGAGCGGUAGCACAGAGAGCUUGCUCUCGGGUGACGAGCGGCGGACGGGUGAGUAAUGUCUGGGAAACUGCCUGAUGGAGGGGGAUAACUACUGGAAACGGUAGCUAAUACCGCAUAANGUCGCAAGACCAAAGUGGGGGACCUUCGGGCCUCAUGCCAUCAGAUGUGCCCAGAUGGGAUUAGCUAGUAGGUGGGGUAANGGCUCACCUAGGCGACGAUCCCUAGCUGGUCUGAGAGGAUGACCAGCCACACUGGAACUGAGACACGGUCCAGACUCCUACGGGAGGCAGCAGUGGGGAAUAUUGCACAAUGGGCGCAAGCCUGAUGCAGCCAUGCCGCGUGUGUGAAGAAGGCCUUCGGGUUGUAAAGCACUUUCAGCGGGGAGGAAGGCGGUGAGGUUAAUAACCUCANCGAUUGACGUUACCCGCAGAAGAAGCACCGGCUAACUCCGUGCCAGCAGCCGCGGUAAUACGGAGGGUGCAAGCGUUAAUCGGAAUUACUGGGCGUAAAGCGCACGCAGGCGGUCUGUCAAGUCGGAUGUGAAAUCCCCGGGCUNAACCUGGGAACUGCAUUCGAAACUGGCAGGCUAGAGUCUUGUAGAG
rnacentral:rRNA from 1 species